AAUCAACGCUGGCGGCGUGCCUCAGACAUGCAAGUCGAACGCGAAAGUCCCCUUCGGGGGACAAGUAGAGUGGCGCACGGGUGAGUAACACGUAGGUAAUCUACCUUCGGAUGGGGAAUAACAACCGGAAACGGUUGCUAAUACCGCAUAAUGCAGCGGCACCUAAUGGUGACAGUUGUUAAAGCGGGGGGUCGAAAGACCUCGCGUCUGAAGAGGAGCCUGCGGCGGAUUAGCUAGUUGGAAGGUAAUGGCUUACCAAGGCGACGAUCCGUAGCCGGCCUGAGAGGGCGGUCGGCCACACUGACACUGACAUACGGGUCAGACUCCUACGGGAGGCAGCAGUCGGGAAUUUUGGGCAAUGGGCGAAAGCCUGACCCAGCAACGCCGCGUGAAGGAUGAAAUCCCUCGGGAUGUAAACUUCG
rnacentral:rRNA from 1 species